rnacentral:rRNA from 1 species
CAUAGGGGGCAAACGUUGCUCGGAAUCACUGGGCAUAAAGCGCACGUAGGUGGCACUGUAAGUCUGAUGUGAAAUCCCUCGGCCUAACCGAGGAACUGCGUUGGAUACUGCCGUGCUUGAGGAUCGGAGGGGAGACAGGAACUCCUGGUGUAGCGGUGAAAUGCGUAGAUAUCAGGAGGAACGCCGGUGGCGAAAGCGUGUCUCUGGACGAUUUCUGACACUGAGGUGCGAAAGCUAGGGGAGCAAACGGGAUUAGAUACCCCGGUAGUCCUAGCCGUAAACGAUGGGUACUAGAUAGGAGGGGGACCUAUGCCUCUUCCUGUCGGAGUAAAUAUGUUAAGUACCCCGCCUGGGGAGUAUGCUCGCAAGGGUA